GUAGGGAAUAUUGGGCAAUGGAUGCAAGUCUGACCCAGCCAUCCCGCGUGCCGGAAGAAGGCCCUCUGGGUUGUAAACUGCUUUUAUCUGGGAAGAAAAAGGCCAUGCGUGGCAAAUUGCCGGUACCAGAUGAAUAAGCACCGGCUAACUCCGUGCCAGCAGCCGCGGUAAUACGGAGGGUGCGAGCGUUGUCCGGAUUUAUUGGGUUUAAAGGGUGCGUAGGCGGCUGAUUAAGUCAGCGGUGAAAGACUUCGGCUUAACCGGAGCAGUGCCGGUGAUACUGGUUAGCUUGAGUGUAGGAAGGGUACAUAGAAUUGAUGGUGUAGCGGUGAAAUGCAUAGAUACCAUCAGGAACACCGAUAGCGAAGGCAUUGUACUGGCCGACAACUGACGCUGAUGCACGAAAGUGUGGGGAUCGAACAGGAUUAGAUACCCUAGUAGUCC
rnacentral:rRNA from 1 species